rnacentral:rRNA from 1 species
CGGGGGGAGCAAGCGUUGUUCGGAUUUACUGGGCGUAAAGGGCGCGUAGGCGGCCACCGCAAGUCGACUGUGAAAUCUCCGGGCUUAACCCGGAAAGGUCAGCCGAUACUGCGGGGCUAGGGUGCAGAAGGGGCAACUGGAAUUCUCGGUGUAGCGGUGAAAUGCGUAGAUAUCGAGAGGAACACCUGCGGCGAAGGCGGGUUGCUGGGCUGACACUGACGCUGAGGCGCGAAAGCUAGGGGAGCGAACGGGAUUAGAUACCCCGGUAGUCCUAGCCUUAAACGAUGAAUGCUUGGUGUCUGGGGUUUUAUAGUCCCCGGGUGCCGUCGCUAACGCUUUAAGCAUUCCGCCUGGGGAGUACGGUCGCAAGACUG